AGAGUUUGAUCAUGGCUCAGAACGAACGCUGGCGGCGUGGAUAAGACAUGCAAGUCGAGCGCAAAUUCUGGUGUAGCAAUACAUCAGAGUUUGAGCGGCGCAAGGGUGCGUAACACGUGGGUAAUUUGCCGUGGAGUUGGGGAUAACUCGCUGAAAGGCGAGCUAAUACCGAAUGUGGUUACUGGAUGGCAUCAUCUGGAAACUAAAGCUGGGGAUCCGCAAGGACCUGGCGCUCUAUGAUAAGCCCGCGGCCUAUCAGCUAGUUGGUGCGGUAACGGCGCACCAAGGCUAAGACGGGUAGCUGGUCUGAGAGGACGACCAGCCACACUGGAACUGAGACACGGUCCAGACACCUACGGGUGGCAGCAGUCGAGAAUUUUUCUCAAUGGGCGCAAGCCUGAAGGAGCGACGCCGCGUGUGGGAUGAAGGGUUUCGAUCCGUAAACCACUGUCAUUUGUGAACAAUGGUUAUCCAUGAAUAGUGGAUGACUUGAUAGUAAUGAAAGAGGAAGGGACGGCUAACUCUGUGCCAGCAGCCGCGGUAAUACAGAGGUCCCGAGCGUUGUUCGGAUUCACUGGGCGUAAAGGGUGCGUAGGUGGCAUGGUAAGUUUGAUGUGAAAGCUCAGGGCUCAACCCUGAAAUGGCAUUGAAUACUACUGUGCUGGAGGUUUGGAGGGGGGACUGGAAUUCUUGAUGUAGCAGUGAAAUGCGUAGAUAUCAAGAGGAACACCAGUGGCGAAGGCGAGUCCCUGGACAACACCUGACACUGAGGCACGAAAGCCGGGGGAGCAAACAGGAUUAGAUACCCCGGUAGUCC
rnacentral:rRNA from 1 species